rnacentral:rRNA from 1 species
UAAUCCGACCUAGGCUCAUCUGAUAGCGCAAGGCCCGAAGGUCCCCUGCUUUCUCCCGUAGGACGUAUGCGGUAUUAGCGUUCCUUUCGAAACGUUGUCCCCCACUACCAGGCAGAUUCCUAGGCAUUACUCACCCGUCCGCCGCUCGCCACCAGGUACAAGUACCCGUGCUGCCGCUCGACUUGCAUGUGUUAGGCAUGCCGCCAGCGUUCAAUCUGAGCCAGGAUCAAACUCU